rnacentral:lncRNA from 1 species
GAGGGCGGCUCCGACUCUCUCACUUGUGGUAAAGGCAUCGAUGCCCCUCCCUGCCCCUCGUUGGGAAGCUGAAGUGGCAGCCAAAGCUAGACCUCCAGUCCUGUAAAUCAUAUGAGACGGGCGGCCCGUCUAAUCCCAAUCUAGACCUCCAGUCCUGUAAAUCAUAUGAGAGGCGCGGACCUCCAGUCCGCGCCGAAUUCUAAAUUUGUGAUUUGAGAGUCGAAUUGGGAAAAGAAUCUACCACUUUUGGUACUUCAAUAAUCAUCAGGAGCGCAUGAUUUCACAAAAUUAUUACCAUUAAAUAAUCUUAUGGAAAACACGAGUAUCCUACACAAUCUUCCUUGAUUACCAUAAUAAUGCCGAAUUAACCAAUUCUGUAAUUUAUUGUGGACAAUUGGCCGAUCUAGAUCUAAAUCAACUUUGAUAGAGCAUAAUA